rnacentral:rRNA from 1 species
CCUACGGGAGGCUGCAGUGGGGAAUAUUGCACAAUGGGGGAAACCCUGAUGCAGCGACGCCGCGUGAGUGAAGAAGUAUCUCGGUAUGUAAAGCUCUAUCAGCAGGGAAGAAAAUGACGGUACCUGACUAAGAAGCCCCGGCUAACUACGUGCCAGCAGCCGCGGUAAUACGUAGGGGGCAAGCGUUAUCCGGAUUUACUGGGUGUAAAGGGAGCGUAGACGGCGCUGCAAGUCCGGAGUGAAAGCCCAUGGCUUAACCAUGGUACUGCUCUGGAAACUGUGGAGCUUGAGUGCGGGAGGGGCCGGCAGAAGUCCCGGUGUCGCGGGGAAAUGCGUAGAGAUUAGGAGGAAGAACGGCGGCGACGGCGGCCUCCUGGACCGUAACUGACGUUGAGGCUCGAAAGCGUGGGGAGCAAACAGGAUGAGAUACCCCAGUAGUC